rnacentral:lncRNA from 1 species
CUGGAAAAAGAAUGAAUGACUAUAAUUUUGGCAAUUGCAGACCUAUUCAGUGUGAUUUGAUUGAAUGAUUGAUCAGGUGGUAGAAGAGGGCUUGAGCAGGCCGACUUGCCCUUCAGGAAUACUGCCUGGCCUUCAGAUUCAACCUUAUUGCUUGACACUACUUGGCCUGCUCAGUGGUGCUAUCUCGGCCCACCACAACCUCUGCCUCCUGGGUUCAAGCAAUUCUCCUGCCUCAGCCUCCUGAGUAGCUGGGAUUACAGGAACCGGGCAAAUCUAACUCAGUCUUCCUUUGAUUCACACUGGAUGAGUGAACUGCAUAGAUGGGGUUUUGCUAUGCUGCCCAUGGCUGGUCUUGAACCUCUGAGCUCAAGUGAUCCAUCAUGUGCACCACUGCCCCAGGUGAACUUUUUACAUAAAGUAUAAGAAAACAGAUUCCUCCUCUCAAUGCCUACAGGAAUCCCCUCUGAUCUUCUAACUGGUAAAGUACUAAGUUAAAAAACCUCUUAGCCCUCUGUCUCUCCAAGUUGGGUAGUAUUAAAUAUAUGAAUCCAUUUUUAGCCUGGGCAGUAUGGUGAGACUCUGUCUCCAUAGACACACGCAC